UACGUAGGGUCCGAGCGUUGUCCGGAAUUACUGGGCGUAAAGAGCUCGUAGGUGGUUUGUCGCGUUGUUCGUGAAAACUCACAGCUCAACUGUGGGCGUGCGGGCGAUACGGGCAGACUAGAGUACUGCAGGGGAGACUGGAAUUCCUGGUGUAGCGGUGGAAUGCGCAGAUAGUCAGGAGGAACACCGGUGGCGAAGGCGGGUCUCUGGGCAGUAACUGACGCUGAGGAGCGAAAGCGUGGGGAGCGAACAGG
rnacentral:rRNA from 1 species